GUUGUCCGGAUUUAUUGGGCGUAAAGAGCUCGUAGGCGGUUUGUCGCGUCUGCUGUGAAAACUCGGGGCUUAACCCCGGGCCUGCAGUGGGUACGGGCAGACUAGAGUGCGGUAGGGGAGACUGGAAUUCCUGGUGUAGCGGUGAAAUGCGCAGAUAUCAGGAGGAACACCGGUGGCGAAGGCGGGUCUCUGGGCCGUAACUGACGCUGAGGAGCGAAAGCAUGGGGAGCGAACAGG
rnacentral:rRNA from 1 species